rnacentral:rRNA from 1 species
AGCGAACGCUGGCGGCAGGCCUAACACAUGCAAGUCGAACGAAGUCUUCGGACUUAGUGGCGGACGGGUGAGUAACACGUGGGAACGUGCCUUUAGGUUCGGAAUAACUCAGGGAAACUUGUGCUAAUACCGAAUGUGCCCUUCGGGGGAAAGAUUUAUCGCCUUUAGAGCGGCCCGCGUCUGAUUAGCUAGUUGGUGAGGUAAAGGCUCACCAAGGCGACGAUCAGUAGCUGGUCUGAGAGGAUGAUCAGCCACAUUGGGACUGAGACACGGCCCAAACUCCUACGGGAGGCAGCAGUGGGGAAUCUUGCGCAAUGGGCGAAAGCCUGACGCAGCCAUGCCGCGUGAAUGAUGAAGGUCUUAGGAUUGUAAAAUUCUUUCACCGGGGACGAUAAUGACGGUACCCGGAGAAGAAGCCCCGGCUAACUUCGUGCCAGCAGCCGCCGUAA